GAUGAACGCUGGCGGCGUGCCUAAUACUUCCAGGUCAACCGACCGGACGAAAAGUUUGCUUCUUUAUUGUUAGCGGCGUACGGGGGAUUACCCCUUGGUAAACCUCCUUAUAAAACUGGGAUACCUUCGGGAAUCCGGACCUAAUCCCGAUAAAUCUUUUGACCCCAUGGUUUAAAAAUUAAAAUACGGUCUUCCGGUACCUUAUAGAUGAUUCCGGGAUGAUUUAGCUAGUUGGUAAGGUAACGCCUUACCAAGGCAACGAUGCAUAGCCGACCUGAGAGAGUGAUCGGCCACACUGGAACUGAGACACGGUCCAGACUCCUACGGGAGGCAGCAGUAGGGAAUCUUCCGCAAUGGGCGAAAGCCUGACGGAGCAACGCCGCGUGAGUGAUGAAGGUCUUCGGAUCGUAAAACUCUGUUAUUAGGGAAGAACAUAUGUGUAAGUAACUGUGCACAUCUUGACGGUACCUAAUCAGAAAGCCACGGCUAACUACGUG
rnacentral:rRNA from 1 species